ensembl:lncRNA
CUUUUUUGUAAAAUGGUAACAGUUAUACCUAAGGAUGUCGUGAGGAUUAAGUGAGAUGACUUAAAGCACUCCACAAUGAGUGAGCAUUCGGGUGAUAACCAUUAUUAUUAAUCCUGCCUUUGGUGACAAGGGAGAUUGGCAGAAAGGCCUGUGGAUAUAUUCAAUGGCCCUGAAAAUCUGAGAAAUUAGAGUGCCUCAAUAGAUGUGAAGACCUGAGGAUGACCUUAUCCUCACACUGUGUUUCUGCUGGAAAUUCAAACAGAACUGGUAGUUGGGCAAAUUUGGUGGGCUCAAGUGAAUACUGUUGGGGCUGCCCACUAGCUGCCAGAGACCCCAAGUUUAAGGCCUCACACUCUGGGAAAUCACUAGAUCAGGGGUCAGUAACCAACUUCUAGGAACAAGGUGGGGGUGGGGAUCCAUGGAGACUUUGCCUAUGGAAUUUCAAUUUUUUUUUUCCUAUCAGGAAUCAAACUUAGGACCUUGCCCUUGCCAAGCAGGUGCGGUGCGGCUGAGCUACACUCUUGACCCUGGAAUUGUAGGUUUCUAGCUGAGCCUAAGGUGAUAGGAUGGCCUGAGUCCCUCAGCCCAGCAGGACUCUGUUUUCAUCCUUUUUCUGGCAGAUAGCUUUGUAAACUUUCUUCUUCCCUCCACCCCCUUGCUCUAGUACAUUAAGCCCUUCUUUGUCCUCUCUUUCUUUUAUUCAUCAGGACUGCCUGGGCAAGAUGGCUCUCCAAGCCCAGCUUGGCUGCUUGCCUCUUUCUGAGGAGACACAUGAGAGAUGGAAAGGAGAUGUAACCAGGUCCAGAGUGGAUGAUGCCCAUGGAGGAUCAGGAACUUGGGCUGUCAUUACCCCAAAAGAUCACCCCGUGGGUGAACCAAGGCUGAUGGAAACCCAGUGGGCUCUGCACAGCCACCCUAGGAAACAGCGGUGGUUUCGGUCCCAUUUUCACAGGUAUGGAAAUGGCUUCGUGACUUGCCCAAGCUGCCAGGAGUUCACAGGCUCCUGCAUGUCAGCAUUUCAGGUAAC